rnacentral:lncRNA from 1 species
CUCUGAUAAAGUAGUUUCCCUUGAGGCAGGUCUCUUUGACCUUGAGCCUAUUUCAAAAUGGCUACUUUCCCCUCUUCCUGUCUGAAGCACUGGUCAGGUUUCUUCAGUCUUCACCAUAAGAACCUGGAGUUUCUUCAGGUUAAACCUGUGAAAGUGUAGGUGCUCCCCUAGGAGUAGGCCCCAGGAGGUUUUAAUGCUCAAGCCAUUCCACACUCAGCCUCCACCAAUUAGUCAAUUACCACCUGAGUGUUCCUACAAGUUAUGGCUCUAGCUAGUAAACUGACCUCAGCUGUUACUCUUUGUAUUUACUUGUCUCUCCAGUUUUUAAGGAAGCAGUUUGGCCUGUGGGAGUUCAGUUCCCGGAUGGACCUAAGAAGAGGUGUUGGCUUUCAGGUCGUGCAGUGGUGUUUACGUCCAAGAACUAAAACUAGAAGGACCAACACAUCCCUAAUGAUGCAGCUUAAAAAUCCCCCACAACCCAAGGAGACCUUGCUCUACAGUGUGAUGUCCAGCCUUGUUGAACUUUUGUGUGCUAUGCCAGAAUGUGUUCGAGAAGAAAAAAUUCACAUCCCUGUUUCAUCCUGCCUGAAUAAGUUUCUUCCAAUGAAUUCUGCUCUAGAACAACUGAACAGAUUUUAGAUUGUCAAGGUAAAUGACCAAAUGGCCUUAUAUCUUGGCUUUUUUGGCAGGGGCAGUUUAUAUCUUGGCUAUUUGCAUGAUACAGUUCUCAGCUCAGGUUUUUUGAAUAUAUAACUUCUUUAUGUGUGUAAGUCUGGGCUAUAGGUGGGGACAGUUCAUUAUUAAACUAG